rnacentral:rRNA from 1 species
UAAGGAAUAUUGGUCAAUGGACGCAAGUCUGAACCAGCCAUGCCGCGUGGAGGAUUAAGGCCCUCUGGGUUGUAAACUCCUUUUAUCUGGGAAGAAAUGUACUUUUUCUUGAGUACUUGACGGUACCAGAGGAAUAAGCACCGGCUAACUCCGUGCCAGCAGCCGCGGUAAUACGGAGGGUGCAAGCGUUAUCCGGAUUCACUGGGUUUAAAGGGUGCGUAGGUGGGCAGGUAAGUCAGUGGUGAAAUCUCCGGGCUUAACCCGGAAACUGCCGUUGAUACUAUUGGUCUUGAAUAUUGUGGAGGUAAGCGGAAUAUGUCAUGUAGCGGUGAAAUGCUUAGAUAUGACACAGAACACCGAUUGCGAAGGCAGCUUGCUAAGCUGUAACUGACGCUGAGGCACGAAAGCGUGGGGAGCAAACA